CCUACGGGAGGCAGCAGUGGGGAAUAUUGGGCAAUGGGCGCAAGCCUGACCCAGCAAUGCCGCGUGAAGGAAGAAGGCUUUCAGGUUGUAAACUUCUUUGACAGGGGAAGAGCAGAAGACGGUACCCUGAAAACAAGCCACGGCUAACUACGUGCCAGCAGCCGCGGUAAUACGUAGGUGGCAAGCGUUGUCCGGAUUUAGUGGGUGUAACGGGCGUGUAGCCGGGAAGGCAAGUCAGAUGUGAAAUCUGGAGGCUCAACCUCCAAAUUGCAUUUGAAACUGUUUGUCUCGAGUACGGGAGAGGAAGACGGAAUGCGGUGUGUAGCGGGGAAAUGCGUAGAUAUAGGGAGGAACACCAGUGGCGAAGGCGGCAGGCUGGACAGAAACGGACGGUGAGGCGCGAAAGCGUGGGUAGCAAACAGGAUUAGAUACCCGAGUAGUC
rnacentral:rRNA from 1 species